AAUGAACGUUGGCGGCGUGGAUUAGGCAUGCAAGUCGAGGGAGAACCCGCAAGGGGGACACCGGCGAACGGGGUAGGAUCAUCUCGGUGACGUACCCUCCGGACGGGGAUAGCCACGGGAAACUGUGGGUAAUACCCGAUGACCUGGCGAGCGAUUAGGGCUUGUCAGCAAAGGUGAGAUUCCACCGGAGGAGCGGCUGAGACGCUAUUAGCUUGUUGGUGAGGUAAUGGCUUACCAAGGCGACGAUGGCUAGGGGGUGUGAGAGCAUGGCCCCCACCACUGGCACUGAGACACUGGCCAGACACCUACGGGUGGCUGCAGUCGAGAAUCUUCGGCAAUGGGCGCAAGCCUGACCGAGCGACGCCGCGUGCGGGAUGAAGGUCUUCGGAUUGUAAACCGCUGUCGGAGGGGAUGAAGUGUAUGGGAGCAAUCUCCUGUAUUUGACAGAGCCUCGGAGGAAGCACGGGCUAAGUUCGUGCCAGCAGCCGCCGCGGUAA
rnacentral:rRNA from 1 species